GACGAACGCUGGCGGCGUGCUUAACACAUGCAAGUCGAACGGAAAGGCCCUGCUUUUGUGGGGUGCUCGAGUGGCGAACGGGUGAGUAACACGUGAGUAACCUGCCCUUGACUUUGGGAUAACUUCAGGAAACUGGGGCUAAUACCGGAUAGGAGCUCCUGCUGCAUGGUGGGGGUUGGAAAGUUUCGGCGGUUGGGGAUGGACUCGCGGCUUAUCAGCUUGUUGGUGGGGUAGUGGCUUACCAAGGCUUUGACGGGUAGCCGGCCUGGGAGGGUGACCGGCCACAUUGGGACUGAGAUACGGCCCAGACUCCUACGGGAGGCAGCAGUGGGGAAUAUUGCACAAUGGGCGGACGCCUGAUGCAGCAACGCCGCGUGCGGGAUGACGGCCUUCGGGUUGUAAACCGCUUUCGCCUGUGACGAAGCGUGAGUGACGGUAAUGGGUAAAGAAGCACCGGCUAACUACGUG
rnacentral:rRNA from 1 species